GACGAACGCUGGCGGCGUGCCUAAUACAUGCAAGUAGAACGCUGAAGGAGGAGCUUGCUUCUCUGGAUGAGUUGCGAACGGGUGAGUAACGCGUAGGUAACCUGCCUGGUAGCGGGGGAUAACUAUUGGAAACGAUAGCUAAUACCGCAUAAGAGUAGAUGUUGCAUGACAUUUUCUUAAAAGGUGCAAUUGCAUCACUACCAGAUGGACCUGCGUUGUAUUAGCUAGUUUGUGAGGUAACGGCUCACCAAGGCGGGGAUACAUAGCAGCACUGAUAGGGUGAUCGGAGAAACUGAGAUUGAGACACGGACGAGAAUCCGACGGGAGGGAGCAGAGAGGAAUAUUCGGAAAUGGACGGAAGGCUGACCGAGCAACGCCGCGUGAGUGAAGAAGGUGUUCAGAUCGAAAAGCUCUGUUGUAAGAGAAGAACGAGUGUGAGAAUAGAAAGCUCACACUGUGACGGUAUCUUACCAGAAAGGGACGGCUAACUACGUG
rnacentral:rRNA from 1 species